UACGUUAGGGGGCAAGCGUUGUCCGGAAUCAUUGGGCGUAAAGAGCGCGUAGGCGGCCCAGUAAGUCCGCUCUGAAAGUCAGGGGCUCAACCCCUGGAUGCGGGUGGAUACUGCUGGGCUAGAGUCCGGAAGAGGUGAGUGGAAUCCUGGUGUAGCGGUGAAAUGCGCAGAUAUCAGGAGAACACCAAUGGCGAGGCAGCUCGCUGGGACGUGACUGACGCUGAGACGCGAAAGCGUGGGGAGCAAAACAGG
rnacentral:rRNA from 1 species